GUGGGGAAUCUUAGACAAUGGGCGCAAGCCUGAUCUAGCCAUGCCGCGUGAGCGAUGGAGGCCUUAGGGUUGUAAAGCUCUUUCGUGGGGGAAGAUAAUGACUGUACCCCAAGAAGAAGCCCCGGCUAACUCCGUGCCAGCAGCCGCGGUAAUACGGAGGGGGCUAGCGUUGUUCGGAAUUACUGGGCGUAAAGCGCACGUAGGCGGACUGGAAAGUCAGGGGUGAAAUCCCGGGGCUCAACCCCGGAACUGCCUUUGAAACUCCCAGUCUUGAGGUCGAGAGAGGUGGGUGGAAUUCCGAGUGUAGAGGUGAAAUUCGUAGAUAUUCGGAGGAACACCAGUGGCGAAGGCGGCCCACUGGCUCGAUACUGACGCUGAGGUGCGAAAGCGUGGGGAGCAAACAGGAUUAGAAACCCCUGUAGUCC
rnacentral:rRNA from 1 species